UNGCUCGUGGCUUUACUUCCCAGGGUACUA
rnacentral:piRNA from 1 species